rnacentral:rRNA from 1 species
GGAGGAGCGCGCGGCCUAUUAGCUAUCAGGUGGGGUAAAGGCCUACCAAGGCGCAGAUGGGUAGCGGGUAGGAGAGGAGGGCCAGCCACAGUGCGCAUGAGACACGAUCCAGACUCCUACGUGAGGCAGCAGUGAGCAAUUUUGCGCAAUGGGCGAAGGCCGAAAGCAGCGACCACGGGUGGAGGAUGACGGCCUUCGGCUCUUAAACUCCAGUCAUAGGUGAAGAAUCCCGACAAGAAAUUGACGGUAACCUCAAAGGAAGCCCCGGCCAACUACGUGCCAGCAGCCGCGGCCG